CUUCUGUGAUGUGGGAUGGUAGCAAUGCCUUUGUCAGAGAUCGUGGUGAGGCACACAUGGGCUAGUGUGUGUGCUGGGCAGAGUGUCCACGUUCCUGCCAGCUGCUGCCAUCCCGCUGGGGCAGGAACCGGCCCAUUAACGUGAACCAUUACGCCAACAAGAAGAGCGCGGCGGAGAGCAUGCUGGACAUCGCGCUGCUGAUGGCCAACGCGUCCCAGCUGAAGGCGGUCAUCGAGCAGGGCCCCAGCUUCGCCUUCUUCGCGCCGCUGGUGGUCCUCAUCUCCCUCUCCCUCGUGCUGCAGAUCGGCGUGGGCGUGCUGCUCAUCUUCCUCGUCAGGUACGACCUCAACAACCCCGCGAAGCACGCCAAGCUGGACUUCCUCAACAACCUGGCCACCGGCCUGGUCUUCAUCAUCGUCGUGGUCAACAUCUUCAUCACCGCCUUUGGUGUGCAGAAGCCCGUGAUAGACGUAGCGCCCCAGCAGUAGGCGGGGUGCCAGCCUGCUCUCCUGCUCACACGUGAUGACCAGCCUGUUUAUUAAUUGCCCCAAACAGUCCUGCCGCCGCCACCAGCAUCAGCCCGAUGCCCCUGGAUCGCACCCGGCCACAUUCACUCAGGUCCCAGGAGCAGCGUCACCCUUGGGGCCCACAUCCCUGUAGGAGGCCCUUCCUGAAACUGGAAGAGCCCAGGCGGGCCCACUAGACCGUGUCCUGGGCCGAGCCGCCGGUAGUUCGGCCCCCGCAGGCCAGCGCAGGGCCCCUGCAGUGGGGCCUGGGAGGCAGAACUGGGGACGGGCCAUGGCUGGUGUGGACACGCAGCAGCCCAAGGAUCGGGACGAUAGGCCCGGUCGGCCUUGGCCUCCGGACGUUUCCAGAGGGACAGGGAGGCCCCCACCCUCUGCGGGUACAACAAGCACCGGGGCCUUGAGCCCCCCACGCCGAGGACUGUGGCGGCGUCUGUGCUUCCUGACCCAGGACUCUGGACCUCAAGGGCCCCUGGCCAUGGGCCCUGCCCACGCCUUCCACCAGCAGUGACGGGGCAGCCCCCCUCAGGGGCCAGAGCCCCCACUUUUCUAAGUACCAGUGACCAAUAAAGCUGACGCACCUCCUC